rnacentral:lncRNA from 1 species
UCAGAUUUACCGUUUUGUGGUCUUUCAAAUCUCCUUAUGACUUUGUCAAAGAGAUCUGAGAAGGUGAAGUCGACAACCAUCUCAAACUUGCCAGCUCUUAUCACGGAUGGCUUAAGAUCCGACAUUCAAAACAAGCAAGAAUUAUUUUUUUAAGAUCUUUAUCUCUGCUAAAAGGAAAAGUUAGAAAAAAAUCAUCUAAGGAGAUCGGAAAAGGUGAAGUCCUCGGUGGAUCUACCGAGUUUCCAAGCGUUGGUUUGACUUUAGAAGCUAAUCAUAAAACAUCGGUAGUUCUUUGAUUUCUACCCUCGAUUGUCACCUCUUCAAGCAGUGGUUUCAAUCUUUACCACCGCAAGGAUUAUGUGGCCGUUAAUCUCAUGAGUUCUAUAGCUUUGAUUUGUAGUUUCGCCAUGGAAAUCUUUGUAUGAUCAAGAAACAUCGAGACAUCAAUUUUUUUUUCUUUCCUUUU